UGCAUUCUGAAUAGCAAUGUCCUGCAGGUAUAGAACAUCUGCAUUCUGAUAGCAAUGUGCUGCAGGUCUGCAUUCUGAUAGCAAUGUGCUGCAGGUAUAGAACAUCUGCAUUCUGAUAGCAAUGUGCUGCAGGUAUAGAACAUCUGCAUUCUGAUAGCAAUGUCCUGCAGGUAUAGAACAUCUGCAUUCUGAUAGCAAUGUGCUGCAGGUAUACAACAUCUGCAUUCUGAUAGCAAUGUGCUGCAGGUAUA